CCUCCUGCUACAUUUGUCCAUAUUAAAGUAAUAUCAUUAGAUGAUAGUUUGGUUGUUGAACCAGGCUUAGAAAUAAGUUGUGUUUGACGCCAUUCUCCCAAGUCUCUUUGAAAUCCAACCUUAAAUAAAUGUACAAAUAAACUCCAUCAGAAAGGUAUCAAAAGGAGCAGUUAGGAUCCAUUCGUUCUUAGAAUUAUUUACUUGUUUAGGA
rnacentral:lncRNA from 1 species